GGUUUGAUCCUGGCUCAGAUUGAACGCUGGCGGGAUGCUUUACAUGCAAGUCGAACGGCAGCACGGACUUCGGUCUGGUGGCGAGUGGCGAACGGGUGAGUAAUGUAUCGGAACGUGCCUAGUAGCGGGGAUAACUACGCGAAAGCGAAGCAAUACCGCAUACGGCCCUUCUUCGGGGAAAGCGGGGACCUUCGGGCCUCGCACUAUUAGAGCGGCCGAUAUCGGAUUAGCUAGUUGGUGGGGUAACGGCUCACCAAGGCGACGAUCCGUAGCUGGUUUGAGAGGACGACCAGCCACACUGGGACUGAGAUUACGGCCCAGACUCCUACGGAGGCAGCAGUGGGGAAUUCUGGACAAUGGGGAAACCUGAUCCAGCCAUCCGCGUGUGCGAUGAAGGCCUUCGGGUUGUAAAGCACUUUGGCAGGAAGAAACGGCACGGGAUAAUACCCCGUGCAACUGACGGUACCUGCAGACAAGCACCGUCAACUACGCCAGCAGCCGCGGUAAUACGUAGGGUGCAAGCGUUAAUCGGAAUUACUGGGCGUAAAGCGUGCGUGCAGGCGGUUCGAAGAAAGAUGUGAAAUCCCAGAGCUAAAUCCUUUGGAACUGCAUUUUUAACUACUGAGCUAGAGGCAACAGAGGGAGGUGGAAUUCCGCGUGUAGCAGUGAAAUGCGUAGAUAUGCGUGAGGAACACCGAUGGCGAAGGCAGCCUCCUGGAUAACACUGACGCUCAUGCACGAAAGCGUGGGGAGCAAACAGGAUUAGAUACCCUGGUAGUCCACGCCCUAAACGAUGUCAACCGUUGGGGCCUUCGGCCUUGGUAGCAGCUUAACGUGGCGAAGUUGACCGCCUGGGGAGUACGGUCGAAGAUUAAACUCAAAGGAAUUGACGGGGACCGCACAAGCGGUGGAUGAUGUGGAUUAAUUCGAUGCAACGCGAAAACCUUACCUACCCUGACAUGUCUGGAAUCCCUGAAGAUUUGGGAGUGCUCGCAAGAGAACCGGAACACAGGUGCUGCAUGGCUGUCGUCAGCUCGUGUCGUGAGAUGUUGGGUUAAGUCCCGCAACGAGCGCAACCCUUGUCAUUAGUUGCUACGAAAGGGCACCUAAUGAGACUGCCGGUGACAAACCGGAGGAAGGUGGGGAUGACGUCAAGUCCUCAUGGCCCUUAUGGGUAGGGCUUGGCCAUCGUCAUACAAUGGUCGGGACAGAGGGCCGCCAACCCGCGAGGGGGAGCCAAUCCCAGAAACCCGAUCGGGAAUGUCCGAUCAUAGUCUGCAACUCGACUGCGUGAAGUCGAAUCGCUAGUAAUCGUGGAUCAGCAUGUCGCGGUGAAUACGUUCCUCGGUCUUGUACACACCGCCCGUCACACCAUGGGAGUGGGUUUACCAGUAGAAGUAGUUAGCCUAACCGUAAGGAGGCGAUUACCACGGCAUUCAUGACUGGGGUGAAGUCGUAUCAAGGUAA
rnacentral:rRNA from 1 species